rnacentral:rRNA from 1 species
CGUAGGGUGCGAGCGUUAAUCGGAAUUACUGGGCGUAAAGCGUGCGCAGGCGGUUUGUUAAGAUAGGCGUGAAAUCCCCGGGCUCAACCUGGGAACUGCGCUUAUGACUGGCAAGCUAGAGUACGGCAGAGGGGGGUGGAAUUCCACGUGUAGCAGUGAAAUGCGUAGAGAUGUGGAGGAACACCAAUGGCGAAGGCAGCCCCCUGGGUCGAUACUGACGCUCAUGCACGAAAGCGUGGGUAGCAAACAGGAUUAGAUACCCUGGUAGUCCACGCCCUAAACGAUGUCAACUAGGUGUUGGAUGGGUAAAACCAUUUAGUACCGGAGCUAACGCGUGAAGUUGGACCGCCUGGGGAGUACGGACCGCAAAGGUUA